UCUCCUCCACAUCAACAGGAUGACCCUUCUCAACUACCCUCUCCCAGACUUGGAUGUCACCUUGCAAGAAGUGAGCCGUGUCCUGCAGCUCACUUUAGGUCCUAACCUUUACCCAGAGUUCAAAAGUACGUUGGAACAGCAGAGGGAUCUGCUUGAAGAGGCCCAGGACAAGUUGUCCGCUGGGGCUUCAGGCCAAGAGAAUUGGGUGACUGAUCAGUUCAAGAGAAGUCUGCUGUCUUGCACUGAGCCCCUGCCAACCUCCACUGCCCUCCCUGUUGUUCUUCCUCCGUCAAAAGAAAACAAAUGUACCCAAGUGGGGAGGGCAGCCGCUCUACUUUGGGCAGCGGCAAAGCUGUACAGUGAGCCCCUGCUACUGCAGGGAAACGUGCCCAUGGAGCGCACACAGCAGUCUGAGGUAUUCGCCGCCACCCGGAUUCCUGGAAGGAUUCACGAUGAGAUCAAGGUCUACCCAGACAGCCUCCAUGCCAUCAUCACCUGUGUUGGAGGAGUGUUCCCUGUGGACAUACUGGAGCGUCCCAGCACUGGUGGGCCGGUUUCUGCUCGUCAGUUCAUUGACAUCUACAACCAGCUGGUUCAGGUGAUGGACCAACCCAGUGCAGGAAAACAGAAAGAUCCCUCUGCCAUUUGCAGCCUCUCGGCUCUGGAGCGAAAUGUCUGGGCUGCAACCAGGGAAGAGAUCCUGGAGCAAGGAGGGGAAGUGGUGGCAUCACUUGGGCUGAUGGAGAGUGCCGUGCUGACGCUCGGUCUGGAAGACUGUGAUGCACCGUCUGAUCUGGCUGACAUCCUGAAUGCAGUGAGAGAGGGGGGGAAGAGGAAGAGACGGUCCAUGUCUGAGAUACUAUGACAAGAUGCUGAACCUGGUGAUGUUCAAGGACGGCGUGGCUGGACUUGUGUUUGAGCACAGCGUCGUGGAUGGGCUGCUAGCAGGAUUCAUAACUGAGAAAUUGUACAAUCUGUCUGAAACUGCAGACUUAAAUGUAGUUGGUACUGACAUACUUGGAAAUAAGUCUGUCAACACCAAAAAAGCCAAUUCUGUUUGUCCAGCUUCCCUGACAUUCCCUUUACCAGGAGUUAAUACACCCAAGAUGACUCCCAACUUAAAAGAAACACAUACAGUCCUCACUUUUGAUAUGUACGCCUAUCCUGAUGUCUUUUCUACUCUGAGAGGGCAGAGAGGCCUCUACGAUGCUUGGAUAAACUUCUCUUUGCAGCUUUCCCUGAGGAAGACUCUUGGUGAAGCUGCUGCCAAGCAUUUGCUUAUCACACCAACCCAUAUGCGUCACUACAAACAUGGCCGUUGUGACCCUACAUACUCCAUCACCAUGCAUUCUCUCAAGUUAGUAGGGGCCUUGGAUGCUUCCAUUGGCCUAGAUAACACAAUCCAAUACACGCCUGAACUCCUACAGUUGUUCCAGGUUGCUUUGUUGGAGCAUAAGAGCCGCAUCAAAAACACCAAAAGUGGUCAAGGAGUUGGUCCCCAUGUAGCAGUCUUGCGUCAAUCCUUGCCAUCUGACAACCCACUGAAGAAGCACUUGGAACCCUUUGGAUGUCCAUCUGUGUACCUCACAGGUACAGAUCUGAUGGAGGGUGUAGAAUGUGGAGUAGGGAAUGUUUAUGCCAAAGAUCAGCUGGCUGUGACCUACCUUGGGAAGAGAGACAAGGUUCGCAUUGUUCUCAAUGGGAA
ensembl:lncRNA